CUAACACAUGCAAGUCGAGCGAGAAGUACCUAUGACCCUUCGGGGGAUUAGACUAGUGGACAGCGGCGGACGGGUGAGUAACGCGUAAAUAACCUGCCAUACACACAAUGAUAGCCAUCGGAAACGGUGAUUAAUACUUGAUGAGGCUACAGAUUCGCAUGAAUCAGUAGUUAAAGAAUUUUGGUGUAUGAUGGAUUUGCGUUUGAUUAGCUAGUUGGUAAGGUAAAAGCUUACCAAGGCGAUGAUCAAUAGCCGGCCUGAGAGGGUGAACGGCCACACUGGAACUGAGACACGGUCCAGACUCCUACGGGAGGCAGCAGUGGGGAAUAUUGCCACAAUGGAGGAAACUCUGAUGCAGCAACGCCGCGUGAACGAAGGAGGCUUUCGAGUCGUAAAGUUCUGUUAUAGGGGAAGAAGCAGUGACGGUACCCUAUGAGAAAGCCACGGCUAAUUACGUGCCAGCAGCCGCGGUAAUACGUAAGUGGCAAGCGUUAUCCGGAAUUACUGGGCAUAAAGAGUUCGUAGGCGGUCAAUCAAGCCAAUAGUGAAAUCCAUCGGCCUAACCGAUGUAAGCUAAUGGAACUGAGUGACUUGAGUACAGGAGAGGAAAGUGGAAUUCCUAGUGUAGUAGUGAAAUGCGUAGAUAUUAGGAAGAACAUCAGUAGCGAAGGCGACCUUCUGGACUGUAACUGACGCUGAGGAACGAAAGCGUGGGGAGCGAACCAGGAUUAGAUACCCCAGUAGUCC
rnacentral:rRNA from 1 species